rnacentral:rRNA from 1 species
AAGGUGCGUCGACAGUGUGGGGGAGUCUCUUCUUCUUUUCCCCUCUCUUUUAUUAGGGGGUGGUGUGGGAAGAAGAAGCCCCUUAGUGUUCGGCCAUUCUGAAAA